GCCGUCAUGGGUCAAAAACGCGACGCGCGGAGCGGCCUUUGCUCUCACCGGGGUCGAGCCGCGGCGAGGGAACGGAUCGGAGACGCUGCGCCUGCUCAGAAGGUAGCGCAGCGGGGAAAGGCGGGAGAGCGUUAACUUCUGAGCCUGCGCGGUGGGAGUUGCUCAAGCAGGUGGUAGCGACUUGGCUUCCGGGCAGCGGGUAAAGGAGCGGAUAUAUAUUCCAGCAGCAUGAGUAUUUUAGCCCUCUUUGCAAUUGCAGUCUUCAUUCAUUAUCAUCAAUAAACUGGCCUCUGGUUGAUUGAU
ensembl:lncRNA EMC1-AS1 EMC1 antisense RNA 1